CACAGCUGAGGAGUCCCACAAUAGGACGAAACGGCCUUCAAGGGC
rnacentral:hammerhead_ribozyme from 1 species